rnacentral:rRNA from 1 species
UGGGGAAUUUUCCGCAAUGGGCGAAAGCCUGACGGAGCAAUACCGCGUGAGGGAGGAAGGCUUUUGGGUUGUAAACCUCUUUUCUCAAGGAAGAAGAUCUGACGGUACUUGAGGAAUCAGCAUCGGCAAACUCCGUGCCAGCAGCCGGGGUAAUACGGAGGAUGCAAGCGUUAUCCGGAAUGAUUGGGCGUAAAGCGUCUGCAGGUGGCUAUGCAAGUCUGCUGUUAAAGAGUGGAGCUCAACUCCAUAAGGGCAGUGGAAACUGCGUAACUAGAGUACGUGCGGGGUAGAGGGAAUUCCUGGUGUAGCGGUGAAAUGCGUAGAUAUCAGGAAGAACACCGGUGGCGAAGGCGCUCUACUAGGCCGUAACUGACACUGAGGGACGAAAGCGAAGGGAGCAAACGGGAUUAGAUACCCCCGUAGUCC